rnacentral:tRNA from 1 species
CUUUUCUAAUAUAUUAAAGUAUAUUUGGCUUCCAACCAAAAAGUUUGCUCCUUGGCAAGUAAAGUAA